AGAGUUUGAUCAUGGCUCAGAAUCAACGCUGGCGGCGCGCUUAACACAUGCAAGUCGAACGAGAAAGGGGAGCAAUCCCUGAGUACAGUGGCGUACGGGUGAGUAACACGUGGGUAAUCUACUCUUUGGUGGGGGAUAACCCUGGGAAACCGGGGCUAAUACCGCAUAAGACCGGAAGGUGAAAGGGGCAAUUCGCCGAAGAAGGAGCCCGCGGCCGAUUAGCUAGUUGGUGGGGUAAGAGCCUACCAAGGCAGAGAUCGGUAGCCGGCCUGAGAGGGCACACGGCCACACUGGCACUGAAACACGGGCCAGACUCCUACGGGAGGCAGCAGUGGGGAAUCUUGCACAAUGGGGGCAACCCUGAUGCAGCGACGCCGCGUGAGCAAUGAAGCCCUUCGGGGUGUAAAGCUCUUUCGACAGGAACGAUAAUGGCGGUACCUGUAGAAGAAGCUGCGGCUAACUACGUGCCAGCAGCCGCGGUAAUACGUAGGCAGCGAGCGUUGUUCGGAGUUACUGGGCGUAAAGGGUGCGUAGGCGGUAAUCCAAGUCUGGUGUGAAAUCUCCCGGCUCAACUGGGAGGGUGCGCCGGAAACUGGGUAACUGGAGUGUGGGAGAGGUAAGCGGAAUUCCUGGUGUAGCGGUGAAAUGCGUAGAUAUCAGGAGGAACACCUGUGGUGUAGACAGCUUACUGGACCACGACUGACGCUGAGGCACGAAAGCGUGGGUAGCAAACAGGAUUAGAUACCCUAGUAGUCC
rnacentral:rRNA from 1 species